AUGUUAAGCCUAACUGUUUACUUACAGUGCAUGCAUAACACUAAGCCAUGGUACAUGAUUGUUUUGUAUGCUAUAGCCAUGGUAGGUUUUGAUCAUGAAAAUGGUGAGGUUUGUAAAGACUUACUUAAAACAAAAGAUGGAACAGAUCAUUGGCUCAUAUGUAGCUCCUCUUUUGAAAGAGGUUACUGUGUGAGGCAACAUCGAUUUGUUUCUGAGUUAUCUACUUCAACACAAUUACUUCAUGUAAGCCGCUGCAGUGGGAAAUUACGAUCCAGUGGGAAUUGA